UUUUUUCUUUUUUUUUUUAAAUGCUGUGAGGAUACAUUCCCUAGAUUGCCAAGGCAGUACCGCAGCCACUCUCUGAACAUAGUUUCGGAAGAAAAGUCUCACUCGAUGCUUUUCUGUUAGUAAUGUAGUAGUGUUCAUGUGGGUAUAAAAAAGCCACUCGGGCCAGGCACUGUGGCACGCACCUAUAGUCUCAGCUAUUCGGGAGAUGGGCGGAUCACUGGAGGCCAGGAGUGCGAGACCAACCUGGGCAACACAGCGAGACUCAGUCUCUACUAAAAAUACAAAAAAAACUUAGCCAGGCAUGGUGGUGCAUGCCUGCAAUCCCAGAUACUCCAGAGGCUGAGGCACGAGAAUCUCUUGAACCCACGAGGUAGAAGUUGCAGUGAGCUGAGAUCACGCCACUGCCCUCCAGCCUCAGUGACAGAGACUCAGUCUCAAACAAUGAAAAAAAAAAAAAGAAAAGAAAAAUAACAGUGCCCAGCACGUAACAGAUGCUAAAUAAACACCUGCUGAAUGAAUGAAAAGAAUCUAAUUCACGUGAGCAAGAAAGCCACAUAACUUCACUGGGGGCCAGGAGGGUGGCCGAGGCAGGGUGACAGCCGCAUACCCUCCCAGUGCUUGUGAGGUCUCGUGGUGAGGGGACCGCGCCUCAGUCAGCCGCAGCACCAAGCAAAAGCUGCUGACACAAAGAGAACGUGGUCAACAGGCCCUGUCACGCUGAGUCCCGAGAGUGACCUCCGUACGAGGCAGAGAAUCUUCCUUCCUCCACCACGGCCUCUCUGCCAACUCUUAGCUACAUCCAUUUCCCCUAGAAGAACAGGAGGAGGAACCCUGGUGAGGAAAUACUGGCGCAUCAUCCAGACAACCACCCUACAAUCAGAGAACAAGGUUGCUGUCUUUCUGCAAUGGCCUCAGGGUUUCUACCUUGAAGCAAAGUAUAAACAGUCUUGUAGCUGGGCACUGGCUCACGUUUGUAAUCUCAACACUUUGGGAGGCUGAGGCUUGAGCCCAGGAGUUUGAGACCAACCUGGACAACACAGCAAGACCCUAUCUCUACCAAAAAAAAAAAAAAAAACCGUCAGGCAUGGUGGUAUGAACCUGUAGUCCAAGCUACUUCCAAAGCAGGAGGUGGUUUGAGCCCAGGAGUUCAAGGCUACUAUAAUAAGCUAUGACUGUGCUACUGCAGUCUAGCCUGGGGAGUAGAAGAGACCCUGCUUAGAAAAAAAAAAGAAAGAAAGAAACUAGGCCAGAUGUGGAGGCCUACACCUGUAAUGCCAGCAUUUUGGGAGGCCAAGGUGGGCGGAUCACCUGAGCUCAGGAGUUCGAGACCAGCAUGGCCAACAUGGUGAAACCUUGUCUCUACUAAAAAUACAAAAAUUAGCUGGGCGUGGUGGCACGUGACUGUAAGUAAUCCCAGGUACUCAGAGGGCUGAGGCAUGAGAAUGACUUGAACCCAGGAGGCAGAGGCUGCAGGAAGCCAAGAUCGUGGCACUGUACCCUAGCCUGGGUGAUAGAGCGAGACUCCAUCUCAAAAAGAAAAAAAAAAAGGACACCAGUCUUGUAAGGGCCAACCCCCUGGUCCUGAUUACUAAGAAUUUCUGAAAUGAGUUCUCUCCAGGCUCCAAGCUCAGUUCAAACCCCGCUUCAACACUGAAGUGCUUCCCAGCCCAGUUAAGGAUCUAUCAGUCCUUGCUUCCUUCACACUCCCACAACUGGCGUGACUCUCCUUUUUGAGCCUUCCUCAACUUGUCUCAUUCACAGGCUUCUCCCAAACUAAAGCAAACACUCCUUUAGAGAGCUGCGGCUUCCCACUGCUCCCUGUCAUGGGAGGAGCACACCACAAGUGCACCCAGAACACAUCUAAUGAUGGACAACUGGGUACCCACCUUCAAAAGCAUGAAGCCCAGCCAGGCAUGCUGGCUCACGCUUGUAAUCCCAACACUCUGGGAGGCCGAGAUGGGUGGAUCCCCUGAGGUCAGGAGUUUGACAGUGGCCUGACCAACAUGAUGAAACCCUGUCUCUACUAAGAAUACAAAAUUAGCCAGGCGUGGUGGUGCGUGCCUGUAAUCCCAGCUACUUGGGAGGCCGAGGCAGAAGAAUGACUUGAACCCAGGAGACAGAGGUUGCAGUGAGCCAAGAUCCCACCAUUGUACUCCAGCCUGGGCAACACAGUGAGACUCCAUCUCAAAAAAAAAAAAAAAUGAGGCCAGACCCCUCCCUCACACCAUAUAUGAUAACUAACUCAAAAUGGGAUCACAGACCUAAAUGUAAGAGCUACCACUACAAAACUCUUAGCAGAAAGUAUAGGCAUAAAUCUUCAGGGCCUUGGGUCAGGCAAAGACUUCUUAGGUAUGACACCAAAAGCACGGCAACAAAAGAACAAAAUACUCAGCAACUUGGGACGCUGAGGUGGGAGGGUUUCCUUCAGGUUAGAGUUGGACACCAGUGUGGGCAACACAGGAUUUUGUAGAUCCCACCUCUACAAAAUAAAAAUAAAAAAUCAGCCAGGCAUGGUGGCUCAUGCUCGUAGUCCCAGCCACCCAAGAGGCCGAGCUACCCAAGAAUCACUUGAGCCCAGGUUGAGGCUGCAGUGAGCUACGAUCGCGCCACUGUACUCCAGUCUGGGUGACAGAACAAGACCUUAUAUCAAAAAAAAACAAAAGUAAAUACAUAACAAAACAGCUAAACUGAACUUCAUCAAAAUUUAAAACUGUUGUGCCGCAAAAGACACCACCAAGACAGUGAGACCAGGCUGGGCACAGUGGCUCACGCCUGUAAUCAUAGCACUUUUGGGAGGCUGAGGUGGGAGGAUCACUUAGCCCAGGAGUUCAAGACCAGCCUGGGCAACACUGUGAGACCCCAUCUCUACAAAAAAAAAUAGCCAGGUAUGGUGAUGCCCACCUGUAAUCCCAGCUACUUGGGAGGCAGAGGCAGGAGGAUCAUUUGAGCCCAGGAGGUCAAGGCUGCAGUGAGCUGUGAUUGUGCCACUGCAUUCCAGCCUAGGUGACAGAGCAAGACCACCUCAAACAAAAACAAAACAAAAACAAAAAAAAAUUGGCCAAGCACAGUGGCUCACACCUGUAAUCCUAAUAUUUUGAGAGGCUGAGGUGGGAGGACUGCUUGAGGUCAAAGAGUGCAAGGCUAACCUAGCCAACAUGGCAAGACCCUAUUGCUAAAAAAAUUUAUUUCUUUUUUCUUUUUCUCUUCUUUGUAUUACUUUUUACUUUUUGUUUAGUUUAUUUUCCCCCUGAAAUGCCAAAAAAAAUUUUUAAUACUUUAAAAAAAGAAUGAAAGUGAGGCU
rnacentral:lncRNA from 1 species